GUUUUGGGCUAAUUUUGUAUGAGAUGAUGACCGGUAGGAUGUUAUAUACAAUGGACAAAGGCUCUCUUGCAGGCUGGACAUCCGAGUUACUAAGAGGGCAGCAAAGCUUAGAGGGAAUGGUAGAUCCAACUCUAAAAUAUUUCCGAGAAGAUGAACUUGAGAAAUUGCUUUCAGUGAUAAAAAGCUGUAUCCACCAUGAUGCCAAACAGAGACCAACGAUGUGCGAGGUUGUGGCCAAGUUAAAGGAGAUCAUAUCAAUGGGACCUGAUGAAGCAAC
rnacentral:misc_RNA from 1 species